rnacentral:rRNA from 1 species
UGCUUUUUGUUUUUUAAUAAAAAGUUUGUUUUGCUCGGUGAUUUUUAACAGCCGCGGUACUUUGACCGUGCAAAGGUAGCAUAAUCACUUGCCUGGUAAUUGGGGGCUGGAAUGAAUGAAUAAACAAAGGCUUAGCUUUAUUUUUUAGAUUAAAGGAAUUUUCUUUUUUAGUGAAGAAGCUAAAAUAUGUAAAAGGGACAAGAAGACCCUUUUGAGCUUUAUUAUAUUUUUCUUUUUUAUGAUUCUUUAGUUUGGUUGGGGCGACCAAGGAAAUAGAUCUUCCUUAUUAAUUUUGAUCCGUUUAUAACGAUUAAAAGAAUAAGUUACCAAAGGGAUAACAGCGUAAUUUUUUUUGAGAGUUCUUAUUAAAUAAAGUGAUUGCGACCUCAAUGU